UGACAGCCCACGUCCCCUCCCUUUAACUCUUUGCUGGGCCAGGCGCUCCCUCCGGCGCCGCCUGCCUCGCAGCUUUUUCCCCCGGCCUGCCCGCGCCCCGCAGAUCCUGAGCGCCUACCCCGGGUGGCAACGCCUCUCAGAGAGCGUCCCGGCCCGCCUCCUCCUAAAGCUCGGGCCCUCUGGGACUGCUAGGAGGGGAAAAUCGUUUCAGGAUUGGAAAGGAAGGAGCGCCAACACUACCAAGCUUCCCCCUGCAAAAUUCAGAAAGGAUGCGCUUUGGUGAGAACUUGGCUCAGCCUUCCCGUGGCUUGGGAGAUGAGGUUGGAGUGAGAAU
rnacentral:lncRNA from 1 species